rnacentral:rRNA from 1 species
AUAUCAAUAAGCGGAGGAAAAGAAACCAACAGGGAUUGCCUCAGUAACGGCGAGUGAAGCGGCAACAGCUCAAAUUUGAAAGCUGGCUCUCGGGCCCGCGUUGUAAUUUGCAGAGGAUGUUUCGGGUGCAGUGCCGGUCUAAGUUCCUUGGAACAGGACGUCAUAGAGGGUGAGAAUCCCGUAUGUGACUGGUGGCGUGCGCCUGUGUGAAGCUCCUUCGACGAGUCGAGUUGUUUGGGAAUGCAGCUCUAAUCGGGUGGUGUACUUCAUCUAAAGCUAAAUACCGGCCAAAGACCGAUAGCGCACAAGUAGAGUGAUCGAAAGAUGAAAAGCACUUUGAAAAGAGAGUUAAACAGUACGUGAAAUUGUUGAAAGGGAAGCGUUUGCAAUCAGACUUGUACAGCGUCGAUCAGCCUGGGUUCUCCCUGGUGCACUCGGCGCUGCGCAGGCCAGCAUCAGUUUCAGCGGCUGGAUAAAGGCCUAGGGAAUGUGAGUUGCUUCGGCGACUGUUAUAGCCCUAGGCGCCAUGCAGCCUGUGGGGACUGAGGACCGCGCUUCGGCUAGGAUGCUGGCGUAAUGGUUACAAACGACCCGUCUUGAAACACGGACCAAGGAGUCUAACAUCUAUGCGAGUGUUUGGGCGUCAAACCCAUAUGCGGAAUGAAAGUGAACGGAGGUGAGAACCCUUAAGGGUGCAUCAUCGACCGAUCCUGAUGUCUUCGGAUGGAUUUGAGUAAGAGCAUAGCUGUUGGGACCCGAAAGGUUAGUGCUCUCCCUCCCCCUCUCCUCUUGAUUACGUAAUACUAACAGUGAAUUGUAGAUGGUGAACUAUGCCUGAAUAGGGUGAAGCCAGAGGAAACUCUGGUGGAGGCUCGCAGCGGUUCUGACGUGCAAAUCGAUCGACAAAUUUGGGUAUAGGGGCGAAAGACUAAUCGAACCAUCAGGCUACCCUAGGUGGUUGAGAGGCCUGCGAGGCCUAGUCGUUUAGGCGGCAAUACUGCAAAAUUGCGGGGACUGCUCGAGAGGUGCAGGCUACCACAGCAGGCUCGAAAGGGCCUGCCACGGUCACAAGGCCUGACAGCUGAGCUGAUCCGCAACCCUAGCCUAAGGCUGUAUUCCCCUCUUUGGGGCAGCGAUGGCGGAGGGCUCAUCGACUAGAUGGCAGUAGGUAGGGGGGGUUAUCUCCCCCCUAGCUUAAGGGAUAGUCAGCCUGCAGCGGGGAUGC